UACGAAGGGGGCUAGCGUUGUUCGGAAUUACUGGGCGUAAAGGGCGCGUAGGUGGCUUUGUAAGUCAGGAGUGAAAUCCCUGGGCUCAACCCAGGAAUUGCUUUUGAGACUACAUCGCUUGAGUACAGGAGAGGUGAGUGGAAUUCCCAGUGUAGAGGUAAAAUUCGUAGAUAUUGGGAGGAACACCAGUGGCGAAGGCGGCUCACUGGCCUGUAACUGACACUGAGGCGCGAAAGCGUGGGGAGCAAACAGG
rnacentral:rRNA from 1 species